AAGGAGUAAAGGUUGAUCCAGAAGAUACUAACUUAAAUCAAGACAGUGCCAAAGAAUCGGAAGAUACUCCCCAGGAAAAUGUCAGUGUCACAGAGACCAUUAAACCAUGUGAUGAUCCAAAAAGUGAAGCUAAAAGUGUUCCUAAACCCAAAGGAAAGAAAACCAAAGAUAUGAAAAAACCUCUCAAAGUACCUGCUGAACCACAAACAAUGGUAGGUCAAAAUCAUAUUCAUAUCUCUUUAGCAUAUCUUGCUGUUUAAGCAAUAUAAUGAUCUAAAGAUGGAAAUGUGUAUUUGGUGAGCCAUUCCGCAAAGAGCCUGCAAAGAUGUGGAUCCAUCAACAAUUUUCUUUGAUAUAAUGUAUCUUUUUUUUUCAUUAAAAUAAAAAGAAGCACAUUGGAAA
rnacentral:sRNA from 1 species